rnacentral:lncRNA from 1 species
AGUCUCAAAAGUUGAAAUAAAAAAUCACUCUCAUCUUUCCUAGAUUCUCUCUUCAUCCAAACCUCCAUUGAAGACCAAUAGAGCUCCAAGAAGAAGAUCAAACCUUCAAGUUUCCAACCCAAUUUCGUGGCUUUAUCAUCUCUAAGGUAUGAUUUCUUUUACUCUUGGGAUUCUUUUCCCCAAGAGGUCCCCCCAAAAGAUGAUUUCUAAAUCCCCAAAACAAGGUUUUUCUUCUCACAUGGUCUUCUUUAAAAAAUAAAAUUAUGAAUCAAUUGUGAUGAAUUAUGAUGAAUUAAUGUUGUUUAGGUACAUAUUGAUGGUCAAUUGAUCACUUCCUAUGAAAUUACCCUAGACCCAUGUCUUUACCCCAAUUUCAUGAAAACCUUAAAUUUAUAUAGUGAAUUGUGAAGAUUAUGAAUAUGUAGAUUGACUAUGUUGUUUAUGUAAUUGCUUCUUGAAUUUACCUUGUUCAUGUAAUUGGUUAUGUAUUCUUGGUAAUGGAAGUAUGAAGGUUCUUGGAAGGGACAAUGAGGUAUGUUGAUUGGUUCUUCUUAGAUUUAAUUGUGAAUUAUAAGUUACUUAGAUAGUAAUGCUCCUAUGUCUAAUGCGUAUGUGAUUUAUAAAGUGAAAGGGUAGUUCUGACUUACGAAUACCCAUGAGCUAUUAUGAUAAGAUGUUCACAUAGGGGUCUAGAGGAAACUAAUGUGAUCUUGUAUAAUGAGUAUGAUGAUUACUAAAGGGAAUAAAUGCUUAGCACAGAAAGGGCAUGUAAGUGAGAGGAAUAAACACUUAGCACCGAAAGGGCAUGUAAGUGAGAUGGGGGUCCCACAUUUAGCAAGUUCAGCCUCCCACAUGGGUUUCUUCACGUUUAGCAAGUUUGGAUUCUCACGAUAUGUGUUGUCUCAUGAGAUGGAAACCUCCAUGUCUAGCAAUUCAAGAUUUCUAGUAACAAUCUCCUUGACCCUUAACUAUGUGCGCACAUAGGACUCUAGCUCAGUGGAUGCACCUAGAUAGUUAUGUACGGAUGAUUACACCUUAGGCAAGUGUUGCUCACGUGGUCUCAUGUUAGUUAAUGCACUUCUUUCCCUAAUGUAAAAGUAAAUGAACAACUUACGUAUGUGAACUCUUAUUAGUGUUGUUUUAAAGGUUACCACAUGGUGUGAGGGAGAGUAUAAGACUUCUCUUACAUAUUGCACAUGUGAGAUCCUAAGAUAUGGUCCUAGUGGUGUUCUUUUAUGAAUAUGAUUAUGGUUAUGUUGAUAAGCUAUGAGUAAAUACUGAUGUAUGAAGCAUGUUAUGUAAAUAUGUUGUAAGUAUGAAGUGAGUUGCUUAAUGUGACACUUAGCUUUGGAUAGGGUUAUGGGGCUUUAUUCUUAGCAUUGCACGAGUGUUGCUUGAGUUGCUUACAUGUUGGGUUGACUUAUGAUGUUCCAUACAUAUGUAUAUUGAGCUAGAUAUUUUACAUGGUUUUGAUUAAAUUGUUUCUUUUCUCAUGCAUUAAUGAUUUUUAUGUAUGGGGACCAUACUUAGAACAUAUGUUUUGUACUAACUCGUAUUUCUCCCCUUUUUCCAAAUAUUUUAGUUCGCUCCAUUGAGGACAUUCGUGGUCAUUGAAGAAGAAGACUUGGCUCUUUCCUAAGUAAAUUUGUGAGUCCUCAUGAGUUCUGAGGAUAGAACCACUCAUCAAACCUUAUUAGUUUUGUUUAUGUUAUGAGACAUUUAUUCCAUUCUCAUGUUGAGACUUCAUUGUAGCCUAUAUGGGCAUAUUGUAAUAGACUAAGGGCUAUGCCCAAACUAUUGUGAUUCAUUCUUUAGAUGGUUAAUGCGAGACAAAGAUUUAC